AACGAACGCUGGCGGCAUGCCUAACACAUGCAAGUCGAACGAGACGGCCGGGUCUAGGGGCGCAGGGGGGGGUGAGGCGGGGGAAGCUGCCCGUGGGUUCGGAGUAACUCCCCGAAGGGGGACCUAAGACCGGUGAAUGUAAUCGGACCAAAGAGCUGUCGCCUUUGGAUGGGGGCGGGUUGGAUUAGGUGGUUGGUAGGGUAAAAGCCUACCAAGGCGACGAUGCAUAGCUGGUCGGAGAGGAUGGUUAGCAACGCUGGGGCUGCGACACGGCCCAGACGCCUACGGGAGGGAGCAGUGGGGAAUAUUGUGCACUGGGCCCAAGCCUGAUCCAGCCAUGCCGCGUGAGUGAUGCUGCCCUUAGGGUUGUAAAGCUCUUUUACCCGGGAUGAUAAUGACAGUACCGGGAGAAUAAGCUCCGGCUAACUCCGUG
rnacentral:rRNA from 1 species